GAGCUUGCCAGCGCUUACCUGUUCCCUCGGUAUGCAGGGUAGGGAGGUCCUCCGAUGAGACUUGCUGCUGCAGCCGGACAUCUCGGCGGACACCACGGAACUGGACCGCCUCCUCCUCUUAAAUACUGGGAUAUCUUCCCUGGUCCCAGCAAUCAGCUGGGACCCGAAAUGCUCCCUCGGAGCCGCCCCCGCGGGCUGCGGCAAGAUUUGCUCCACGUACCUGGCCAGGAGGAGCCCCAGCACGCCGGCCAAGUACGCCAGGUAAGGUCUCCAGGCGACCUUGAACCUCUCUAAGGAAAUGAGGGACACGGUCCUGACCGCGCUAGUCAAGGCGAUCAUGAGGACGCCCAGCCUCAGCCUCAGCACCAGCCAUGUCGCGGCGGCCAAGCAGCUGAGCACCACCCCCGCGGCCGGGAGCGAGAGUAAGUGAUCCUCCCCGACGCCCAGCCCAAUCUGGACGAGCGCUUCCCCCCCGCAGCAGGCUGCCAGCAGUGAGACGGCCAGAGGCAGGCGCACCCCGGCGCGCAGGAGGUACAAGCCCAUCCAGAAGAAGGCACACAGGAGACUGAAGAGCAGCGCCGAGGGCUGCAGCCAGGGGCUGAGCGGCGCGCCGCCCCCGGGAGCACCUCCCCGAAGCCCGGGGAAGACGCCCCCUUCUGCUCCCAGGGCCGCUUCCUCCGCCGCAGCCGCCACCUCCUUACUCUGCUCCGGGUCCCUGCCGAUCUCCCCGCGCACCAGCCUCACCAGCAGGGCCAGCAGAAAGGACAGGGAGCCGGCGCACAGCGCUGAGGAAAGUUUCCGGGAGCGCCGGAGCGGCUGCAGCACCAGGUCUCUCCANNNNNNCGGCCGCGGCUGCCGGAGUCCCGCGGCGGUGCGGCGCCGGGGCGAGCGGAAUAGUCCCGGCCUGCGGCGGGGGCUGGAUGCACCCCACCGUGGCCUGGCUUGUCUCGGACCCGGGCGGCUUCGCGGGGUACUGCCAUUGUGUGCCCUCCUCACGGAAUCCCCAAGGUCCCCCCGACGCCCCCACCCCGACACACACACAUGCACGCACGCACCCUCUCCCUAAUCCCACCCUCGGAAUCCUUCCUUCUCCCCGGGCCCCCGAGCCCCACUACAAGUUUCAGCUUCCCAGUAAACUCCUGGGGAAUCCUGGAUGCUCCAAAGAGACGCCUUCAAGUUAAAAGCUAGCACAGACACAAACGAUCAGACUUCCUCCUUUUCUCUCUUUGGAAAACUCUUAAAAAUUGUGCUCCACCCCCACCCCCGAUUUCUAUCCUCCGGGGUCUCUUCCUACUUCAGGAUUUUAAAAAUUGCCCCACGCGCCCCGCGCACGGGGGCUGCAGCUGCUGGAGGAGCCGGAGGCGCGGGGCGAGCUCGGGGCCAUCUCGUGCGGCGCUCGGCGUUGCGCUGCAGCGCGCCGGGCCCGUGGUGUCUGGAGGUGCCCCUUUUCUUCCUUCCUGCAGCUCUUUCUCUAUCACUCUUUCUUUCUCCUCGGCCGAUCCUCCCCGGCACGGCCCCAGGAAGCGAACCGCCAUUCCCCGGGGCAGAAAGCAAAGCCUCCCCUGCGUCUGUCGGUCCAGUCCAUGGCAAAGGGUGGCAAAAAAAAAAAUGGAAAGGGGGCUGAGAAAUAACCAAGAAGUUGCUAAGUCCCGUCGGAAAGAGACACAGUCCGAGAGGCUAGCGGCAGCGGCAAGAAGGGAGGGAGGGAGAGCGAGCGAGCGAGCUGGAGAGGAAGGGAGGGUGAGAGGAAGGGAGGGUGAGAAGGGAGAAGGAGAUUUACUUCUUUUUUUUUUUCUCCCCUUCUUUUUGGUGCGAUGUAGGUGGUGAUUUGCAGUUUUGCAAAAGGGAAACGAGUUUAAACGACUGGUUAAAACUGUAUUUAAAAAGCGGGCAACUGGAGUGAUCAGCGACUCAGCUUGCUUGCUUGCUUGCUUGCUUUCUUUAAGGCAACUCCCUAGGAAAGCUUUCCCAGCCGAGUUCCCGCCUCCUCCCCCGGAGGAGGCGCUGCUUUCAGCGCUUUGCGGCAUUCUCCUGAGCGGGUCCCGCACGCACUUGAGCACGUUGGAGAAAGGGUUGCUGAGGCUGGUCUACCACCGCCCAGCUUACUGAAGCCAGGGGUUGCGGGUUUCUGCGGCUGGCCCUCAGGCCGAGCUUCCUAGGACGUUAGGAAAAAUGGAUUGUCCUUGCCUACUUGUCAGGCAGUGGAAACUAACAUGCUACCUCCUGAUGACAAGCCACAUCUACUGUCAGUGAUUCAAAGAUGCUUCUUAGUUCUCAAGUCAGUUACAACAGCAAACCAAUUUCAGGUGGCAUCGUAAUGCCCUGGCUGCUCCUGCUGGAAGGUCUGUUUUAAACAGAACCCAAGCCUUUCCUAUUAUUCCAAAUGAUGGGAAAUCUCAAAAAGUUACCAAGACAGUACCAGCAUUAUUAUUUUUCAAUUUUUUCUAAUGUUUAUUUAUUCUUGAGAGAGAGAGAGACAGAACGUGGGCAGGGGAGAGGCAUAGAGAGAGGGAGACAGAAUCCGAAGCAGGCUCCAGGCUCUGAGCUGUCAGCACAGAGCCCAAUGUGGGGCUCGAACCCAUGAACCGUGAGAGCAUGACCUGACCCAAAGUCGGAGGCUUAACCCACUGAGCCACCCAGGCACCCCAUAACAGCAUUAUUAAAUUGGGAAAUAAGAGUUGGGGGCGGGAUUUUUUUGUUAGUUUUUUUUUUCCAAAUUGUUAUUUGAAAAAUCCAGGGUAUGAGAGUAUUAGGCAACAGCUGUUGAUGGUGGGUGGUAAAUACAUGGAGAUUAAGUGACCCCAGCCUCAAGAAGGUUUACCAAAUUAAGAAGCCUAAAAGGAAUUAAAAGAAAUCUCAAGGGAGAAGUGAGGCCAGGUAGGUUGACAGCAGAAGAGCUCUGAGAAGCCUCACUAUGGUUGUGAAAUAGUAUGUCUACCAUAAAGAAUGCUUGUGAGAAAAAAUCAGGACCCUCGUUAUGAAUGUUUACAGGAUGCAUGCUUCAUAUACUGUAGGAAUGUAGUCUUUGAGAAACUAAAGAAAAAAUUUAAAACUAACUUUUUAGGCAGAUUAUGAAAAAUCAUUCAAUAUCCACCCAGUGGGCCUUUAAAAUCCAUCAGUGUUGGGAGCUAGUUCCUUUUUACAUUUAGAACAUAAGAAUAUGAUCGUCCACUCUUGUUCGUGUUGAAUAUGGCUACCUUAGAUGUCAUUUGCCUUCACUAAUAUUAAUAAUAAUCCAAUUUUGUCUUAAUUAUCUUGACAUUCCAGGUUAAAGUGUGUUGUUAGCCUGGAGUAUUUGGAUAAUUGGUUCAAUAUGCCACUGUAUUUUGUGUGCAGAGAUGAAGUAAUAUAAAGAAAAGCCAAAGGAGAUACUUGAGAUAAAAUUAAUUCAUAGAGGUAGGGGGGAGAAGAUGGCUGAAGUCUUAAACUUAGCUUUACGGGAAACAGCCUGCUCUCCUUAGAGGCAGGUAUUAAUAUUAAUUUAUGAUAUAAAUGGAUACGAGGAGCUAUGAUGAUACAACUCUCCAUCAGAUGUCCAGAACUAUACUAUCACGUGGAGAACAAGUUGGGCAGUUAGUCAAUGGCAGUGGGCACCAUCUGUUUGAUAAUUAAGGAAACAGAAGCAGCAAUGUCUUUGCCAAAGACAAAUGAGCCCCCUAGCAUGCACACAUACUUUUCUGAGUUUCCUUUUUAGAUAUAUGAUUCAUAUGCCAGAGCCUACCUGGAACACUUCAGAGUAAAAAACCUUGAAUGGAAAAUCAUGCUAAUAUCCAAUGGUGAUCAGAAACAGCAUAUUAAAAUGAAAAAUAUGGCAUGUAUCAAGGUUAGAAAGAAAGGCAUAGUGAGGGGAAUUUUAGAAUAUUUCACUUUUCUCUCUUUCCCACCCCCACAAUUAUCUCAGUUCUUUAGAAAAUAAUCAUCAUCAUAAAAAUUGAAUUUAUGAGAGAUGGAAUGUCGACAUUUUAAGAAACUGUAAUAGAAAAAAUAAGAAUGACAUUUGUUAAUGCACCAACACAAAAAUACUAGAUCUAAAUGUUAAACUGACAUCCUUGAGGUAUUCCAUGGUAUUACAGAGGCAAUGUCCUGGCAUCUGGGCUUCUCCCCAUUCUCAACGAAAAUCACACCCAGAAAGUUAUUUGUCCCACCCAGGGGAAAUAAGGUGGAUUCCCUCACCCCUUUACCUUCAUUAUCAUCCCAAACCUGGAAGCAGAUGAAUGAAAAUAACAAAUACUCUUACUAGAGAGAUGCAGAAAGCUACAACACUAUACUGAAAAAGUGACAAACUUUGGGCAGAAUAUAUUAAGUGAAGUGAGACCCAGUACAUAAAGUGGACACUGAAUAAUCACCCAGAUAUAAAACUGCCUAUUUUCUACAGAUAGCGAUGAAUCCCAAUUCAGAACGUGACAACACAGCCAAAGGAUAAGAAAAAGGCACCCACGGGAAAGUAGAGUAUGGAAAAUGGAAAGGAAAAAUCCAUUUGGUAAAGCUCUCCACUUAGCUAAAUCUAGCAACCGUGUUUUCAUUAGUGCUUUGUGAAGAGGAUCUAGAAAUCAGCCCGGUUGCAUAUCAUUUGCCAAAUAUAGUUAUGCUUAAGGGAAUUCUGUUAAAUUUUAAAAGUUUAUACUCUAUAGCAGGGGUUUAUUCAUUCCCUACUACCUCCCUGACCUCCCUGACCUAUAUAUAUGCAUAUAUAUCAAAUGGGUAUCUAAAAUACAAUGCAUCCGAAACAAAAUUCCUGACUUCCAACUCCCUCCCUGCCAUCCUCCACCAAUCCCCACCACCCCAAACUAUUUCUCCCCCAGUCCUCCUAUCAUAGGAAAAAGCUUAAGCACCUGAGCGAAAAGCCUUGAGCCUAACUGCUCAGGUCCCAAAAGAGGGCACUGCCCUCAAUUCCUUCUUUUAUUUACCUUAUUUUACUUCCAAUCUAUUAGCAAGUCCUUUUGAUUCUACAUCUAAAAUAGAUCCUGAGUCCAUCAACUUUUCACCCUCCCUCUUACAAUAACCAACCAAAGACCCAUCAUCAUCCCUGGCCAGGACAUUGCAAUAACUUUCUCACUGGUCUUGCUCUCCUACCAUUUUCCACACAGUAGUCAGAAUGAGAGUUUUAAAAUGCAAGUCAGAUGAUGUCACUCCCUGCUUAAAACCAUCCAGAGGCUUUCCACUGAACUUGCAGUUCUCAUGGCCACCUACAGGGACCUUCAUGAUCUUUGCAAACCACUCUCUGUGACCUGCCCUAUUCUAAUUCUCCUACUUCACUAGUGCCACACUGUCCAUCGGAACAUUCUUCAGUGAUGCAGAUAUACUCUGCACUGUCAAGUAUGGUGGCAACUAGUCACAUAUGGCUGUUGAGAACUUGAAACAUAGUGCCACCGAGGAACUGAGUUUUUAUAUUUUAUUUUAAUUAAUUUAAAAUUCAAUAGUCUCGGGGAGCCUGGGUGGCUCACUCAGUUAAGCAUCUAACUUCACCUCAGGUCAUGAUCUCACAGUUCGUGAGCUCGAGCCCCGCGUCAGGUUCUGUGCUGACAGCUCAGGGCCUGGAGCCUGCUUUGGAUUCUGUGUCUGCCUCUCUCUCUGCUCCUCCCCCACUCAUGCUCUAUCUCUCUCAAAAAUAAAUAAACAUUAAAAGAAAUUAUAUUUAAAAAAUGUAAUAGCCUCACCUGAAUAGUGGUUUCUGAUGGGUUCGUCUCCUGCUCCUCAAGCCGUCUUUCCAUUCUUUAGCAGGUCAAAUUGAAAAUCUUGCUCAUGGGGCGCCUGGGUGGCGCAGUCGGUUAAGCGUCCGACUUCAGCCAGGUCACGAUCUCGCGGUCCGGGAGUUCGAGCCCCGCGUCAGGCUCUGGGCUGAUGGCUCAGAGCCUGGAGCCCGUUUCGAUUCUGUGUCUCCCUCUCUCUCUGCCCCUUCCCCGUUCAUGCUCUGUCUCUCUCUGUCCCAAAAAUAAAUAAACGUUGAAAAAAAAAAAUUAAAAAAAAAAAAAGAAAAUCUUGCUCAUGACCUUAGUAUUUACAGAACUUCACACAGCUGCCUCCUUCUGCUCCAUCAGUUCUCGUCUGAAAUGUUACCUUCUUUAAUUUUUUUUAAUGUUUAUUUAUUUCUGAGACAGAGAGAGACAGAGCAUGAGUGGGGGAGGGGCAGAGAGAGAGGGACACAGAAUCCGAAGCAGGCUCCAGGCUGAGUUGUCAGCACAGAGCCCAACGCGGGGCUCGAACUCACAGACCGCGAGAGAUCAUGACCUGAGCCGAAGUCGGAAGCUCAACCGACUGAGCCACCCAGGCGCCCCUGAAAUGUUACCUUUUUAGAAAAGCUUUUUCCCAAACAUGAAAAAGUCUUGGGUCUCCUUGUGCACACACACAUUUUUUUCAUUUAUUACCACACUACCCUGUUGCAGUCUAUUUAUAGCACUUAGCUAUAGUCUUGCUCAUUUAUUUGUUGUCUUGUUUAUCCUACAUCUCCUUUCACUAGGGUGUAAGUGCCCUGUGAACAAAGGCCAUGGACAUCUUUGGCUUGUUUGCUGGGUAGUACCGAUGACCCUAAUAGUGCUCGGAACAUGGUAGCAGUUCUGUGCAUACUUGCUGAAUAAAUACUUGAUGAAUGAAGAAAGUCAACAAAUAAUAGAUGCACAAAUAAAAGAAACAGGUAUCUCUGUCAAAGUCUAAGUUAAAGACAAUCUUCAUAUGUUUAUACAACUAAUUGCUCAAGUGGACAGAUCCCUCAAAAUCUUGCCUGGAAGAUUCUGCUCCCCAGAAUGGACUGAUAAGCAGAAUCAUGGAGCAUCACUUUUUUAAUAGAAAGUUGCUUUUAAAAAAAUCACUGUUUUGAAAUCUCCGUAUGGAUUCUCAGAUGAAAUGUCCAUAAUCCACAGCCGUUUUCUUGUGGGCCCAGCAGAAAAAAAAUCAGUUUAACCAUAUGCAUCUGGGUAGCAAGUCAGCUGAGAAAGGAGGAUUAGGAGAUGUCUAAAUAAAAAUUACUAAAGAGUCAUAACUCUCACAUCAUGAUCUGUGACAUAGUUUCCAGCUAUUCCAAUUAACAACACUACUUUAGGAGUUGAAUUUAAAUUUAAACCAUUAAAUCGAUGGGCGCCCGGGUGGCUCAGUCGAUUAAGGGUCUGACUUCAGCUCAGGUGAUGAUCUCACAGUUUGUGGGUUCAAGCCCCACGUCGGGCUCUGUGCUGACGGCUAAGAGUCUGGAGCCUGUUUCAGAUUCUGUGUUUCCCUCUCUCUCGCUGCCCCUCCCCCACUCAUGCUCUGUCUCUCAAAAAUAAAUGAAUGUUAAAUUUUUUUUUUAAUUUAAAAUAUUAAACAUUUUGCCAAGAUAGACCAUACUAAUACUCAUUGCUCCACAUCCAGUCAGAGGAAAACACUUAGAAAACUUGUAUUUUUAAGUGCAAACAUCCCACUCUUUCUGUAGAGUGCUGCCCCCGUUUAAUUUCCAAAGAAUUUAAGUAACAGCUUUCGAAAUACAAUUGUGAACUUGCAUAGAAACACUAAAGGAAAAAGCAAGGUGUGAGGACUGAUGGUGACCCAUGCAAAAGUUUUUAACAAAGCGUCAGACUGUCUGCAGCACAAACCACCAGGACAGUUACUUUACCCUCCGUGCCCUCUGUAUCCACGUUGUCUGACACACAGCUGGCAUUCCUACAACACGUUUGGAUGUUGUUUAACUGCUGGCUCCACCUUUUAUAAACAAACUGUCAAGGAAAUCAGAGUGCUUUAGGUACAGGGGUUCCCAACCUUGUUCACUUUGUGGCACAUGCAGAAAAUGAUAAUAUUUAUUGUCACAUCGGAUUUAAAGGACAAAGCCCUUUGCAGACAAAGGUUUCAGGCACAGGGCCUGAGGAGAUCAUAAUCUCAGGCACACCUCUAACUAGUGGCACUUUAUCUGGGAAUUUUUGAAACAGUUAAUAUUUGAUUCACUAAUAAAAUAUAAAGCCGCCUUCUGAAGGCUGUUAAAAUAAACAUGGGGUGAAUCCCAAGGUCUCAGUAGCUUGCAGACUACCAUGUUCACAUUUCUUAGCCCUUCCUUCCAGCCACUUCCCCAUAAAUUCCCUCAGUUGGUCUCCAACUCAAAUGCAUGAUUUUUAUCUAGUUUUCAAAUUUGGAAAUGAGACAUACUCGGUAUGAUUUGUAGGAUGGACAUGAUCAUGGCCAGGCCUAGAAUCCAAAUCUUCCCUACCAUAUGUUGAUGUGUUCUCCAUCACAUCAGUUAUUCUCAUUGAUCAUAUUAGUAACUCAUUAGUAACACCAGUAAUUUCAGUAACUCCUCUACAACUGCAACUCUUCAAAGUGAAUCAUUAUGUAAUGAUACGAGUGUGUGUGUGUGUGUGUGUGUGUGUGUAUAGUUAGUCUCCUAAAUAAUGAUAAAUGAUAAAAUGUGUGUAGUCCACAUGCUUUUCACUUAAGAGUCUCAUAUACGUACAUAUCUAAAGGUGAUGUUCUGUAUAGAAGUGAAGACUUAAGGCUUUCCUCGACACCCUUAAUGUCUCAACCUCAGAGGACGAGACUAUUAAGAAGGAAGGAAAUCACAGGCCAUGAUAGCAGAGCACAUAGUACCUGAGUCAAAUAAAAGAGCUGUGAAUGCAUUUAUUGUACAUCUAUUUUCAUACAAAUAGCAAAAUACUAUAAAUAGUAUGAGUAGUGAGAGCUUUAAAAAUGCUCAUAUUACUGUUUUAAAGAGGCUUUAUGUUUUUUUGUGAGUUUGCUUUUGUUUUAAGCAGAGUCCAUGUCAGCAUGUAGCCCAGUUCAGGGUCUGAACUCACGAUCCCAAGAUCAAGACCUGAGCUGAAAUCAAGAGUCAGAUGCUUAACCGACUGAGCCACCCAGGCGCCCCCUAAAGAGUUUUUUUUUUUUUUAAAUAAAUUGUUCCACUUCUCUGCUUUAGUGCGAUCAGCAUGACAGGUUUAAUUGAAUUUUUCUGUGAUGAUUCAAACUUGUCUAGUGUCUCAGACUCAUCAUUAUGAAUAGUAAUUUUCAAUUGUGUCUGCAGAAGUAAAUGGUAGUAAGAGGAUAGGGGUUGGACUGAAUGUGAACUAAUCUCUGAGCAGUAAUAAUUACUUUAUUUUUUUUUUAAUUUUUUUUUUCAACGUUUAUUUAUUUUUGGGACAGAGAGAGACAGAGCAUGAACGGGGGAGGGGCAGAGAGAGAGGGAGACACAGAAUCGGAAACAGGCUCCAGGCUCCGAGCCAUCAGCCCAGAGCCUGACGCGGGGCUCGAACUCACAGACCGCGAGAUCGUGACCUGGCUGAAGUCGGACGCUUAACCGACUGCGCCACCCAGGGGCCCAAUAAUUACUUUAAAAAUAACCCUCAUCUCAAAAUAUAUGCAAUAUGUUAACAACAGCCUGGGAGUAAUAAAGAUUCACUCUUAUGCCUUGUUUUUUGAGACCAUUCAUUUUAAUUUUCAAAUCCAAACAACAGAUCUCUUCCACUGGACUCUGGACAGAGCCAUACAAUAAAUCACAGAAACUAAAUAUUUUGAUGUUGAGGCAAAGGUGAACAGAGAACACGUAAUAGGGGAAGAGUUACCCCGAUUUUCUGUAACACCAUCUUCAUGAAUGAAUGACAUUCCAUAUUUAUGUAGGUGCAGUAAAGAGCCUCUCUAUCCAAAGAAGACAUUAAGUACUUUUAUAAAGAGGAACACAUUUUACUAAAAUUUAAAAGGAAUAUGUAAUAACAUGAAAAAAAAAUCUACUUUGGGGGAGAAGUAGAAGAAAAAAAUACAGUGUCCACCAAAUAAAGUACUGAUAGAUUGUCCAGGACUGAGCUCUUACUGACUCCCUGAGCAAAUACCUCAGUUCUACAGCUGAUACUGAUAUGCAGUCCACUUUAAAAUGUUCGAAUUUAAGGAUCAUUUGUGUUUUCAAUUAGAGCAUAUUUAUAGAGAAAAAUUUGAUGGUUACUUGAUAGAAAAAAUAUGUAAGUAUAGCCUAUUUAUUUUGAUACUCCAAUACCACUGAAUUUUAAAGUUAGUUUUACUUUACCCUCAGAAGUUAUAAUAGCACCCAAACUAUUACUUUUUGUGCAUGUCAUAAAAAGAUGCCAGGAAAAAAAUUAUGCAUAGCUCAGAAACAUCUUUGGUCUAUAAAUGUAAUCCUCUUUUAUAAAUGAAAUCCACCAGUGUUCCUAAAGGCUAAUAAAAUGUUUUGAGCCUCCUUAUCAUUUUGGAGGAAAUCAUAAUUAGCCAAAUGUCUAUACAUAUUAUAUCUCAGUAAAACAAAGGCAGGGAGAAACCUUCUCUAACACUGAAAUAAAAUUUGCCUCUUCUCAAAUAUAUUUCCCAAUUCUGCUUUUGGGGAAAUACAAAAUAAGACUUUGUUAGUUUCCAUACAUAGCAGCCAGCAUUCAAAAUAUUUGAAAUCUUAUGAAGCUUUAUUUUCCCCAAUAGAUAGAGUGCCUGGGUGGCUCAGUUGUUUAAGCAUCCAACUCCUGAUUUCGGCUCAGGUCAUGAUGAGUUGGAGCCCUGUGUCAGGCUCUGUGCUGACACAUGGAGCCUACUUGGGAUUCUCUCUCCCUCUCUCUCUGCUCCUACCCCACUUGUACUCUCGCUCUCUCUCUCAAAAAUAGAUAAAUAAACAUUAGAGAGAGAGAAAGACAGAGAGAGAGAGAGAUUCCCAGUUUGUAGAACAGUUUAUUGAGCAACAUGGAUUUUGGCCCUUCAGUAUCUUUUGUACCUUUAUACCUGCUUAUCAGCAGCAUUCUGGAAUGCUCUAAGUCUGGUUUUGCGCUACAGAAGAGAAGAAAACUGUUGUAUUACUUCCCAUGAUCAUGGAUGCAUGUUUAUAUUAAUGUAAUUUAAAAAUAUGUUAACUGUGUUUUCCAGGUACAUUCAUGUUGUUUUUGCUCAUAGUUCAUUUAAACUACCAGAAUUUUAAAAGUAGACUGUAGCAAGAAAUAGCCCUCUCAUUAUGUGUUAUUAUUCUUUCAUUGUGCACUUUACUCAAAAACAAGGAUCCCCUAGGUAAAGCAGCAUUCCUAGUAAGGUGUGUUUAGAGCUUAACAAAUGUAUUUUUCAGAAUACCAAUCACUCAGUAAUUAAAAGCAACAAACUACUGAUCCACACAAAAACUUAGAUAAAUUUCCAGACACUUAAGCUGAAUGAAAAAAGCCAACCCCCAAUGUUGUAUAUUGUAUGACCCUGUUUACAUAACAUUCUUGAAAUUUAAACAAGUAUAGAAAUGGAGAACAGAUUAAUGGUUGGCAGAGGUUGGGAGCCAGGUGCAGGGACUGAGUGGUUAGGAAAUAUGUGUGGCUACAAAAGGUCACCUGGAGGGAUCCUGGUGUUGCUGAAUCUGUUUUGUAUCUUGACUAUAUCAAUGCCAAUGUCCUGCUUGUGAUAUUGUACUAUCGUUUUUCAAGAUGUUAUCACUGAGGGAAACUGAGUAAAGGGUAUGUGAAUUUGUUAAUUAUUUCUCACAACUACAUGUAAAUCUAUAAUAUAAAAAGAAAACAAAUUAUAUUUUGCAUUAUCUGUGAUACUGCUAAAAAGAGAAUUGCUAUUACUUCUGCCUAUGCUUAGGCAGAUCAUUUUUAAAAAAUGUACUGGUUUUCUCUGUACUAGUCACAAUUGAAAUUCUUUUGAUAUUUGGUUAAUUCUGUUAUAAAAUAAUUGCUGGAUAUCAUGUAAAGCAAAAUAAAUGUAUGACUAAAGAAUAUGAAAAAUAUAAAAAUUUAGUCUUUGGCUCUCAUAGAGCAGUUUAUCCUGAAAAGAAAUACUUACAAGUACAGGCUUCCCCUGCAAUCUGAAAGUAGAGUGUAUCUAUGUAAAGUUUUGUAAGCCCAAGUGGAGUCAAGCGAAGAAGCAAUUACCAUUAAUCCAUUGGGAAAUUUUUGAGCAUUCCCAGACCCCCAAAAUAACCUCUCUGAGGCUUUGCUGAUACUUUAAGACACAUCUUGUUAACGGGUGCACAAAUAAAUCGAGAUAAAGCACAAAUGCCUACAGACACAGGUCAAAGUCAUGGUGGCUUAAUGCUGAGAUGCUCAGCGUAGUUCUCAGGAAGAAGCUUGUUGGUACCACUCGCUGUUCAGAGUGUGCAUGGCUUCUGUAACAGCUCGGCUCGCUGUCAAACACAUGCUGAAUGUUAUUUGCACUUUUUGCCUCUUUUCAUAAACGUCAAAAUCCUCUUCGAUUUCUUUCAGUUAGCAAAAACAGGUACCAAUGUAGGUCUUUUGUAAAAGAAAAGUGGUAUAGCAUGAACUUUGGGGGAACUUCAUUUAAAUAUAGUUUUAGUCUAUGCUUUUAAAGAUGAUUUAUUAACAUUGUUCACAUGAAAUGGGAGGAGAGAAUGAUAGCAUCCUAACUGCUAUAAACGAGGAUAAUUCAUAAUAAAUAUAAACAGAGACACAGAUAUUUCGGGUCCUUGGCUAAGGUACCCCACAAUUCAGUCUGGAUUCCUGAUCUGUUGAUACCAUGAUCCAGCAAUUAUAUAUUUUGUACCUUUAAGUAAAUGUAGCUAAAGAAUACUGGCAUUUGACCAGUUAUCCUUACAUUUACAUGUUAUUUUUAUUUGUAGCUGCAUUGGAUCCUACAGAAUCUAGGGCUAUUUAUUAUACUGUUAUACUGUCUCUUAUAUUCUUGCCUCCCUCAAAGCAUUAGCCCCCAAAGGGCAAUCUCACUUAUGACUAUGGCAUGUCUGGUUGGCUUGAACACAAUAAGUAUGUUAAAGGCAUAGCAAAAGUGUCAAAAUGCAGCAUUUAAAAAUAACUACCUGUAGAGACUGUAGAAAAGAAGUAAUCAGUGUGCAUAGGUAACUAUUAUGUACUCAUAAAGACUUAAAUACAGAAAGCAAUAUGCUAGUCUACUAUUUCUUCCAUUAAUACGGAGUUCAGAAAAGAAGACAUCAGGGCUUCUCAAUAUAAUCAAUAUCUCACAUUCAGAGGCAGAGAGGGAAGUGCCAUAUUAGUUAAUCUGAGCUGAUGUCUGACUGAAGCUGUGAGGCAUUUUUUUCAUUCUACAGGAACCACAGCGCUAUGGUAACUUUCCACAGAAAUGGCAAAUUACAUAGGGAGCUUAGGCUCAAUGAUUUUCUUUAACAAAAAUCUAGAAAUGGGGCAUUUUGAGCUCAGUAAGAAUAGUAAGUGAUGCAUGGGAGAAAGCAAAGUGGUUCUUCUCACAUCCCAAAAAAGGGGUGACUCUGAAUAAAUCUCAGAAUGCACAAGUUUUCUCUGAUAAUCACUCUCCUCUCCUUGACCUAAUCUUUAUACUAAUUUUUGUCUUUCUUUUUUUUGUUUACCCUAGUCCAUUUCUUAUUAAGAAUAAAUUUUACAUUCUUGCUCUGAUUUUUGUAAUCACAGUGUAUUACAUGUAAAGUUAUAGGUGACAUAGAACUAAGAGUUCAGGAAGUUACGGAUGACACAGAGCUAAACGGGGUGAAGAAAAGCUUUCAGUUAUUCUAAAUCAACACAAUUAUAACUCACUAUGUAUCUUUUUCCAUUUACUAUCCCAAAGAUGAGUUAUUCAAAGGACUGAUCCAAAGCCCAGAAAAUACCUCAAAUUACAUUUCAUCACCGUAUAUACUGGAGUGGCUCCUUAAAUUAACCCCUAUUAUAUAAACUUACCAGGAAAGGGGAUCUAUCUCUCAUCUACAAAUAUAUUUACACUCCAAUAAGAAACUUACUCAAACAGGUGUUUUGUUUUGCUACUCUGUAAAAUAAGAUUUGGGGAUAAAAUUUUGAAUUAAUCUAUCUGCAUGUUCCCUAUAGGAAUGCUAACCAUCUUCCUGAAAUUUCCAUGCAUUUUCUUUUCUCUAGACUUUACCAAGAAGCCAAUAUUGCUACCCAACUGGAACCAGAUUGUAGAACACAAGGAUACAUCCUUAACCUUAUAAAAAUGCCCCAGAAUUUUUAAUGAGCA
rnacentral:lncRNA from 1 species